rnacentral:rRNA from 1 species
AUGGCUGGUGUUCUAACGUAGACCCGUGAUCCGGGUUGCGGACAGUGUCUGGUGGGUAGUUUGACUGGGGCGGUCUCCUCCCAAAGAGUAACGGAGGAGCACGAAGGUUGGCUAAUCCUGGUCGGACAUCAGGAGGUUAGUGCAAUGGCAUAAGCCAGCUUGACUGCGAGCGUGACGGCGCGAGCAGGUGCGAAAGCAGGUCAUAGUGAUCCGGUGGUUCUGAAUGGAAGGGCCAUCGCUCAACGGAUAAAAGGUACUCCGGGGAUAACAGGCUGAUACCGCCCAAGAGUUCAUAUCGACGGCGGUGUUUGGCACCUCGAUGUCGGCUCAUCACAUCCUGGGGCUGAAGUAGGUCCCAAGGGUAUGGCUGUUCGCCAUUUAAAGUGGUACGCGAGCUGGGUUUAGAACGUCGUGAGACAGUUCGGUCCCUAUCUGCCGUGGGCGCUGGAGAAUUGAGGGGGGCUGCUCCUAGUACGAGAGGACCGGAGUGGACGCAUCACUGGUGUUCGGGUUGUCAUGCCAAUGGCACUGCCCGGUAGCUAAAUGCGGAAGAGAUAAGUGCUGAAAGCAUCUAAGCACGAAACUUGCCCCGAGAUGAGUUCUCCCUGAGACUUUAAGUCUCCUGAAGGAACGUUGAAGACGACGACGUUGAUAGGUCGGGUGUGUAAGCGCAGCGAUGCGUUGAGCUAACCGAUACUAAUGAACCGUGAGGCUUAACCUUACAACGCCGAAG